CUUUAUAGUACCUAUUCCAGUCCGAUUGCGACAUUAAAUUUAACUAUAUUUCUGCAUUUAAGAUGCUAUAAUAAAUUAUGGCAUCUUGUGGAAAGAUAGUACAU
rfam:Tetrahymena thermophila SB210 genomic scaffold scf_8254564, whole genome shotgun sequence.